CUAUGCAGAUUACACUUUAGCUUUAACAUUAGACGUAUGGUGUUUUUUUUUUUUUUUUUACCUUUUUUUCUCUCUGUGAUGUUAUUUUGUAUUUUCUGUAUGAUAUUUGUGUUGACAGGGUAGUCAUGCUGAGCUUUUACGAUCAGCCAGGCACUUAAUGUCCUUAUUAAUCUGAAAGGGGAGGAGGUGCAGCCAGUAGUGAUAUUCCUUGCAGCAGUCAGGAUAUAAGGUUAGGUGUUUAAAAUACAUUUUUAAAUCUGUUCACAUGGAUAUUUUUCUAAUAUGUGAUCAAUGAUUAUUUUUGGUUACAAUACUGCAGGGAACAGAGGCAAAUAGGCCAAAAUGAGAGGUCAGGCAAUCAGCCACCAAGACCUUCUCUUCAAAUAGAAAUGACAAGGUCUUUUCCAGGUAUGUUCACUAAGGGAAAAGGGAAGAGGCGUUUUCCGGCAGUGAAUCUUGUUCCUGCUAAAAUGCCUAAACCACUAGAAGUUGCUUUCCACCUUUUGCCAAAACAAUAUGAAAAAACCCCAAAAGAACAAGACCAACUAGUCCACUUGCACACAGGACUGUGUAUUUAGAUGAGAGCGCAAUACAUGAUGAGGAGGAUGGGGUUCCCGAAAGCUCUCCCUGGUGGCACCUGAUCAUACUGGCUACACAGGCAAUAUAGUAAAAGCUGCAAACCAGGGGAGUAAAUCUCCUCUUUACAUAGCUCCAAUUCAAGACGAACUCAACACUACUCCUUUGCAACUAAGUAAUGAAGUAUUCAGUGGCAUGCCUAAGGCAAUGUGCCAAAAGUGUGGAGCAGCCAUUCCACUACAGCUCCUGAUGGAACACUUGAAGUCUUGCAACAUCACCGAUGUUGACAAUGAUGAAGAGAACCUGGCUAACGUGGAGGAUAACAGUGAGCAGGCACCAGUUCAGGAGCCCUGUCCUAUCUGCAUGAAAAUGUUUCCCGCUAGCUUCAUUGAAGUACAUACUGCUUUGUGUGGAGAAG